GUUGUUGGGUAGGGGAGCGUUCUGUAAGCCGUUGAAGGUGACCUGUGAGGGUUGCUGGAGGUAUCAGAAGUGCGAAUGCUGACAUAAGUAACGAUAAUGCGGGUGAAAAACCCGCACGCCGGAAGACCAAGGGUUCCUGUCCAACGUUAAUCGGGGCAGGGUGAGUCGACCCCUAAGGCGAGGCUGAAAAGCGUAGUCGAUGGGAAACAGGUUAAUAUUCCUGUACUUGGUGUUACUGCGAAGGGGGGACGGAGAAGGCUAGGCUGGCCGGGCGACGGUUGUCCCGGUUUAAGCGUGUAGGGGGAGUGACCAGGUAAAUCCGGUUGCUUAUCAACCCUGAGGCGUGAUGACGAUGCACCACGGUGCAGAAGCAGUUGAUGCCAUGCUUCCAGGAAAAGCCUCUAAGCAUCAGGUAACAUUAAAUCGUACCCCAAACCGACACAGGUGGUCAGGUAGAGAAUACUCAGGCGCUUGAGAGAACUCGGGUGAAGGAACUAGGCAAAAUGGUGCCGUAACUUCGGGAGAAGGCACGCUGGCGUUAGGUGAAAGGACUAGCUCCUGGAGCUGAAGCCAGUCGCAGAUACCAGCUGGCUGCAACUGUUUAAUAAAAACACAGCACUGUGCAAACACGAAAGUGGACGUAUACAGUGUGACGCCUGCCCGGUGCUGGAAGGUUAAUUGAUGGGGUCAGCCGCAAGGCGAAGCUCUUGAUCGAAGCCCCAGUAAACGGCGGCCGUAACUAUAACGGUCCUAAGGUAGCGAAAUUCCUUGUCGGGUAAGUUCCGACCUGCACGAAUGGCGUAAUGAUGGCCAGGCUGUCUCCACCCGAGACUCAGUGAAAUUGAACUCGCUGUGAAGAUGCAGUGUACCCGCGGCAAGACGGAAAGACCCCGUGAACCUUUACUAUAGCUUGACACUGAACAUUGAGCCUUGAUGUGUAGGAUAGGUGGGAGGCCUUGAAGUGUGGACGCCAGUCUGCAUGGAGCCAACCUUGAAAUACCACCCUUUAAUGUUUGAUGUUCUAACUCGGCCCCAUGAUCUGGGGUGAGGACAGUGUCUGGUGGGUAGUUUGACUGGGGCGGUCUCCUCCCAAAGAGUAACGGAGGAGCACGAAGGUUAGCUAAUCACGGUCGGACAUCGUGAGGUUAGUGCAAAGGCAUAAGCUAGCUUGACUGCGAGAGUGACGGCUCGAGCAGGUACGAAAGUAGGUCUUAGUGAUCCGGUGGUUCUGAAUGGAAGGGCCAUCGCUCAACGGAUAAAAGGUACUCCGGGGAUAACAGGCUGAUACCGCCCAAGAGUUCAUAUCGACGGCGGUGUUUGGCACCUCGAUGUCGGCUCAUCACAUCCUGGGGCUGAAGUAGGUCCCAAGGGUAUGGCUG
rnacentral:rRNA from 3 species